rnacentral:rRNA from 1 species
GGGCCCGCACAAGCGGCGGAGCAUGUGGAUUAAUUCGAUGCAACGCGAAGAACCUUACCUGGGUUUGACAUGCACAGGACGCCGGCAGAGAUGUCGGUUCCCUUGUGGCCUGUGUGCAGGUGGUGCAUGGCUGUCGUCAGCUCGUGUCGUGAGAUGUUGGGUUAAGUCCCGCAACGAGCGCAACCCUUGUCUCAUGUUGCCAGCACGUAAUGGUGGGGACUCGUGAGAGACCGCCGGGGUCAACUCGGAGGAAGGUGGGGAUGACGUCAAGUCAUCAUGCCCCUUAUGUCCAGGGCUUCACACAUGCUACAAUGGCCGGUACAAAGGGCUGCGAUGCCGUGAGGUGGAGCGAAUCCUUUCAAAGCCGGUCUCAGUUCGGAUCGGGGUCUGCAACUCGACCCCGUGAAGUCGGAGUCGCUAGUAAUCGCAGAUCAGCAACGCUGCGGUGAAUACGUUCCCGGGCCUU